GACUAGUGUGCCUACAGCCAACUUAUCUCAAUCUGUGGAAGGUCAUAAUCCAUGGAUUCUGGACUCAGGUGCCUCAGACCAUAUCUCUGGAACAUGGGACAGGUCGUCUGAUUGGAGAAGGACAUGAGUCUCAAGGACUUUAUUUUUUAAAACCUCAUUCCUCAGUUUCCUGCUUUACCACUUCAUCCCCCAAACUUCUGCAUGAUCGUCUAGGCCAUCCAAGUUUGUUCAAGUUGAAGAUGAUGGUUCCAAGUCUCAAAAACAUCCAAGUCUUAGAUUGUGAAUCUUGUCAAUUAGGAAAACAUGUUAGAUCUUCCUAUCCUAAAAGAUCUGAGACACAGUGUGAUUUUCCUUUUUCAAUAAUUCAUUCAGAUAUUUGGGGACCAAGUCGUGUUACUUCAUUUGGUUUUAAUUAUUUUGUAACCUUUAUUGAUGAAUUCUCUCGAUGUACUUGGGUUUAUUUAAUGAAAGAGAGAUCUGAACUUUUGUCCA